UCCCCAUUGAAUGAGGCAGUCUCCCGUGAAAUACAACACAGGAUGAGGGUUUCGCUCGUUUGCCCACUUAAGGGUACACUUCACAGCACGAGCUGACGACGACCGUGCAUCAUCUGUCAUCUGGCUCCCGAGGGCACCCCCGUAUUUCUACAGGGUUCCAGAGAUGUCAAGGCCUGGUAAGGUUCCUCGUUCAGCAUCGAAUUAAACCUCAUGAUCCACCGCUUGUGCGAGCCCCCGUCAAUUCCUUUGAGUUUUAGUCUUGCGACCGUACUUCCCAGGCGGCAAACUUCACGCGUUAGCUUCGCUACACAGAGGGUCGAUACUCCGAAUAGCUAGUUUGCAUCGUUUACGGCGUGGACUAC
rnacentral:misc_RNA from 1 species